ACCGAUAUAACGGUGGCGCAGUUGGUAGCACUGUUUGCAGCAAGAAGGUCCUGGGUUCGACUCCCAGCCGGGGUC